GAAGCAACGCGAAGAACCUUACCAGGUCUUGACAUCCUCUGACACUCCUAGAGAUAGGAAUUUCCCCUUCGGGGGACAGAGUGACAGGUGGUGCAUGGUUGUCGUCAGCUCGUGUCGUGAGAUGUUGGGUUAAGUCCCGCAACGAGCGCAACCCUUGAUCUUAGUUGCCAGCAUUCAGUUGGGCACUCUAAGGUGACUGCCGGUGACAAACCGGAGGAAGGUGGGGAUGACGUCAAAUCAUCAUGCCCCUUAUGACCUGGGCUACACACGUGCUACAAUGGAUGGUACAAAGGGCAGCGAAGCCGCGAGGUGGAGCCCAUCCCACAAAACCAUUCUCAGUUCGGAUUGCAGGCUGCAACUCGCCUGCAUGAAGCCGGAAUCGCUAGUAAUCGCGGAUCAGCAUGCCGCGGUGAAUACGUUCCCGGGCCUUGUACACACCGCCCGUCACACCACGAGAGUUUGUAACACCCGAAGUCGGUGGGGUAACCGUAAGGAGCCAGCCGCCUAAGGUGGGACAGAUGAUUGGGGUGAAGUCGUAACAAGGUAGCCGUAUCGGAAGGUG
rnacentral:rRNA from 1 species